GACGAACGCUGGCGGCGUGCUUAACACAUGCAAGUCGAACGGAAAGGCCCUGCUUGCAGGGUACUCGAGUGGCGAACGGGUGAGUAACACGUGGGUGAUCUGCCCUGCACUUCGGGUUAAGCUUGGGAAACUGGGUCUAAUACCGGAUAGGACCGCACUUUAGUGUGUGUGGUGGAAAGUUUUUUCGGUGUUGGAUGAGCUCGCGGCCUAUCAGCUUGUUGGUGGGGUAAUGGCCUACCAAGGCGGCGUCGCGUAGCCGGCCUGAGAGGGUGUACGGCCACAUUGGGACUGAGAUACGGCCCAGACUCCUACGGGAGGCAGCAGUGGGGAAUAUUGCACAAUGGGCGCAAGCCUGAUGCAGCGACGCCGCGUGGGGGAUGAAGGCCUUCGGGUUGUAAACUCCGUUCGCUAGGGACGAAGCUUUUUGUGACGGUACCUAGAGAAGAAGCACCGGCUAACUACGUG
rnacentral:rRNA from 1 species